AUGACGGUUCCUUCUGAGAUGGCCAAGAACAUGACGACGUGCACGGCGAGGAGGGCUGCCCGUGGCCGCCCCGCCCCGAGCUCGUUCGAGACACGGGUGCUGCACGAAGCACGAUCUUAUAUAUCAUGCAAAACAGCAUGCACGAAUAGGAACAUGAAGGGACAUUGCCAUUUUGCUCCAGUGAUGCUUCCUUCGUUCGCAAAUAUAAUAUGUUUUAGAUAUUUUAAUAUGAACUACAUACAAACUGAAGUGAAUGAACAUUAUAUAUUUGUGGAAAGAGGAAGUAUAUAUUUACUUACCUUAUGGCAGCGCCGAGGCCGUAGGGAAUCAUGA
rnacentral:rRNA from 1 species